GAUGAACGCUGGCGGCGUGCCUAAUACAUGCAAGUCGAGCGAACGGACGAGAAGCUUGCUUUUCUGAUGUUAGCGGCGGACGGGUGAGUAACACGUGGAUAACCUACCUAUAAGACUUGGAUAACUUCGGGAAACCGGAGCUAAUACCGGAUAAUAUUUUGAACCGCAUGGUUCAAAAGUGAAAGACGGUCUUGCUGUCACUUCUAGAUGGAUCCGCGCUGCAUUAGCUAGUUGGUAAGGUAACGGCUUACCAAGGCAACGAUGCAUAGCCGACCUGAGAGGGUGAUCGGCCACACUGGAACUGAGACACGGUCCAGACUCCUACGGGAGGCAGCAGUAGGGAAUCUUCCGCAAUGGGCGAAAGCCUGACGGAGCAACGCCGCGUGAGUGAUGAAGGUCUUCGGAUCGUAAAACUCUGUUAUUAGGGAAGAACAUAUGUGUAAGUAACUGUGCACAUCUUGACGGUACCUAAUCAGAAAGCCACGGCUAACUACGUG
rnacentral:rRNA from 1 species